UGUUAUCAUUUUAAUGACAUCCAAUUUCACAAAAUAACAUUUUCACAGAGGCGAUUUUAAUCACAUGUGGGAUUUUAUGGGGAUGGCUAGUGCCUACGUCAUCGUAGCCGAAUACGUCACUUCCGUGUCCAAACCGAAUUGGGCUAGAAUGGUGCAGUGCUGUGUCCCAAGUUGUAACAACAGAAAUGAUAUCAAUAAAACGAUAAGUUACUACCGCUUUCCUUUGGACGAAAACGAGAAGAGGAGAUGGCUUAAACUGAUACGGCGUAAAGAUUUCACCCCUAACUACAACUCAAGGGUCUGUGGAUGGCAUUUUCCACAUGGCAAAGCAGCGGGGCCCACACGGUUUGCCUGGAAUGAGGGAAAGGCUUUUCCUCACAUCAGCCAGCCGACCAAACGGCAAAAGAAAAUGCUCCUGGCGACUGUAGAGGACGAAGGAGGAGCUGAACCAGGCCCAAGUCACCUUGGCACUGCUCAGAAGACCCCAAGUAGUUCAAGUGUUUUGGUGCUCGAAAUUGAGAAUGAGAUGCUCAGAAAAGAAAAUGACAAACUGAAGAAAGAAUUGGAGAAACAAAAACAAACAUUUUCAUUUAGUCAAAUAUCCUCCCACCCAGACAUAGUCAACUAUUACACUGGCUUGCCAGAUGCUGCCACAGUCUUAUUUUGGAGACCCUUCUUUCCAAAUUUGAUCUCCAGUAUCACUUUGAUUGGAACGUCCAAAAAAUGCCCUUAAUCGAUCAGCUGCUCUUGACUUUGAUGAAACUUCGACUGAAUUGUGGUCUUGUUGACCUUUCUGUGAGGUUUAACUGCUGCCGGGCCACAGUCACCAACAUCUUUAUCACCAUCUCCAGUGCCCUGUAUGACAUUUUGUAUGUCGGCAUGAUGGAAAACAAAAUUCCUUCCAGAUUCAAGAACCAAACCUCCCUGCCACAUUGCUUCCAGCCAUUCCCAAUUGUCGGAUUGUGCUCGACUGUACUGAAGUAGCUGUGUCCAACACAGAAAGUCUGGACACCCAAAGUCAUCUGUACAGUCAUUACAAAGGAGGUACCACGCUUAAGGCUCUGAUUGGUGUGGCACCUAAUGGAUUCAUUACCUUCGCCAGUGACCUGUAUGGUGGAAGCACAUCGGACAAAGCAAUAACGGCAGACUGCGGAGUACUUCAACAACUAGAAGCAGGUGACAUGGUGAUGGCUGACAAGGGCUUCACUAUUCGUGACAUUUUACCUGCAGGUGUUUCACUGAACAUCCCAACAUUCCUUGUCAACGGACAGUUCACAAUGGAGGAAAUCAACCACAACAGACUUAUUGCCAGUGCAAGAGUUCAUGUGGAGCGUUCCAUUCAGCGCCUGAAAACAUUUCACAUUUUGUCAUACAUUCCAUACCAGUAUAAAAAGCAUGCAAACAAGAUACUGAAAGUGUGUGUUUCUCUCACAAAUUUACAGACACCCAUUCUCCGUGAAAUAGCAUGAAUUUCCUCUCACUUUCUUUUUUAGAAUAAAUAAAACAACAAAACACACAAACAUCAGUUUAACUGGUACAAAUGCACAGAUAUUGAUAUAUACAAAUUGGGAGAGGCUACAACAUUCAAACUGAAUAUCCUGCUUUAGAACUAGGAAUGUCAAGAUUAACUGAUUUUACAAUAACCGCGGUUAUAAAAGCUCACAGUAGGUUAAUCGUAAUAGUUUUAGGGCCCAAGGUAAAUCGUCUCAGCGUUAAAUCCGCUCAAAUGCAUGAAGUCAACGGCAGGUUCAUAAGUCAAAUGUGCAAAUCUUAUUUUCAUAGCUGCCAAAGGAAGAGUUAAAAAAAAAAAGGAUCAUGUGCAGCCGCGUUUGUCACGUAAAAAUGGACAUGAACAGUGUAAGCACAUGGAAAGACAUAGAUCUUUCAAAAACAUCCACAUAAAUCUGCUUUCUUAUAGCUAGC
ensembl:lncRNA